rnacentral:misc_RNA from 1 species
GAUGAAGAACGUAGCGAAAUGCGAUACGUAAUGUGAAUUGCAGAAUUCAGUGAAUCAUCGAAUCUUUGAACGCAUAUUGCGCUCUCUGGUAUUCCGGAGAGCAUGCUUGUUUGAGUAUCAGUAAACACCUCAACUUCCAUAUCUUUUUUGAAAUGGGAGUUGGACUUGAGUGAUCCCAACGCUUUUCCUCACCGAAAAGUGGCGGGUUACUUGAAAUGCAGGUGCAGCUGGACUUUUCUCUGAGCUAUAAGCAUAUCUAUUUAGUCUGCCUAAAAAACAGAUUAUUACCUUUGCUGCAGCUAACAUAAAGGAGAUUAGUUCUUGUGCUGACUGAUGCAGGAUUCACAAAGACAGCUUCGGCCGACUUUGUAAACUCGAUCUCAAAUCAAGUAAGACUACCCGCUGAACUUAAGCAUAUCAUAAGCGGAGGA